rnacentral:rRNA from 1 species
CCGAAGGACCUCCUUGGUUUUACUGUUGGUUGAGGUUACGGGUGACCUAGGCGACCAUACAUAGCCGACCUGAGAGGGUGAUCGGGCCACACUGGGACUGAAGACACGGCCCCAGGCUCCUUCGGGGAGGCAGCAGUAAGGGAAUCUUCGGCAAUGGGGGGGAACCCCUGACCCGAGCAACCGCCGCGUGAGUGAAGAAGGUUUUUGGGAUCGUAAAAGCUCUGUUGUUAAAGGAAAAAACGAGUGUGAGAAUGGAAAAGUUUCAUACCGGUGACGGUACUUAACCAGAAAAGGGACGGCUAACUACGUGCCAGCAGCCGCGGGUAAUACGUUAGGUCCCGAGCGUUGUCCGGGAUUUAUUGGGCGUAAAAGCGAGCGCAGGCGGUUAGAUAAGUCUGAAGUUAAAAGGCAGUGGCUCAACCAUUGUAGGCUUUGGAAAACUGUUUAACUUGAGUGCAGAAGGGGAGAGUGGAAUUCCAUGUGUAGCGGUGAAAUGCGUAGAUAUAUGGAGGAACACCGGUGGCGAAAGCGGGUCUCUGGUCUGUAACUGACGCUGAGGCUCGAAAGCGUGGGGAGCGAGCAGG